ensembl:lncRNA LINC-PINT long intergenic non-protein coding RNA, p53 induced transcript
UCUCCACUGGAAUCAGCAACUCCCUGGAACUCGGGCCUCUGGCCCCGUCCCUCUUUUCUCCGGCAGGGACGCAGGAUGCCUUGGUGCACUCUAGAGACGGGGACCGGAGGGUGCAGCGCGCCUGGGUGGGGCGAAGGGCGCCGGUCUCCUCACGCCCUCUGACUUUAGGAUACCAGACAGUGUCUCUUCAACCCCACCCCAGGCGCAGGUUUCCAGAAGGCGGGGUGGGUGGGGCCCCCGAUUUCCAGAAGGCGAGUUACCUAGCAGGCAUUUUAUUAAUGCUUUUACGAGUUAGAAGAGUUGGGAUAAUUUGCCAUCUGGAGUUUCUCUGCCUUGCUGAUCUGAGCUCAGACCUGCCAAUUUACCAGAGAUAAUUGAUAACACCCUGUAACAGCUGAGAGGAAAAUGGAAGAAACGGAGAUACUUUUAGUGAAGCAGAAUAAACCACUGAACAGGAAAAAUGAGGAAGCUGUGAGUACCAGUGGAAGGAACGAGCCAGGAAGAGGGACUGGAACCAUCUCAGAAGCCAUGCCCCUCAGGCUGGAACUUGCCCUGUCUCCUCGCAGAUGAGGUAGGAGGCUCAGCACGGGCUGGUGGGAGCAGCCCACAGCAGCAGUGAGGGUCAGUGGGCCUGUGAGUUAAGAAGAAGGUGGCACAGAGCGAGGGUCUCUGGAUCCUGACUGUUUGACUUUUCCAUGAUUAGGAUAAGUAGCCAGGGCUUGGCUAGUUGGAGAGUUACUCGAACCUCAGGUGACAGUUGUAAGGCAGCACAUAGUGAAAAAGAGUCCUAGCCUGGGAAAGUCCAAAACCUUAGGUCUGGUUUCAGUUCACUCACCUAUCUCUGUGACAUAGCAAAGUCUGUUAAUUUCUCUAAUUUUCUGAUUAGUAGUAUAGUUGCAGGAAUGAAAUAAAAAUGGUCCUGAUUACUCAGAGAUUCAUUUACUGAUUACUCUUUUUGUGACCUGAAUAAAGAGUACAACAUCUCUCAAAAGGUAACAAUAUGAUGUUUCAGGAAAUUAGAGAAGUUAAGAGACUUUGCUGUAUUUACUAUACAGAUAGUUGACUGACAGCUGAGCCCGGACCCAAGAUUCAUUUAUAAAAUGAAGGAGUUGAGAAGUACAUACUCUGAGGUUUAUCCUAAAUAAACUGAAGUCUAGGCAAGUGGCUGAGCUAGGUUUGCCAUGAAUCAAUCUGCUGAGUAUAUUUCUUGGUAACUAGUUCAUCUUUCCUUAAUUCAGUCAACAAAUAUGAUAUCAAGUUUAGUAAGAUGAUGACAGUUGUCAUGUAAUACUCCAUCUGGAAGAUUGUAUGCUUCUCAGCUUCCCUAACUUUUCUUAAUCUACCUUAAGCUUCCUUUCUGAAAGGUUUCUGUCUUUCCUAACAGUCUCUUCUUUCCGCCAGCUACCUCUUGUGUUUAAGAAUUAAAGGAAGAUGAGCUAGGAAUCAAGAAAUACGCAGAACUGAUUCCUGUCACUGGCGCCACCCUGCCACUUGCCCAGAGCUGUGGUAUAAAUUUUUUUAAUAGGCUGAAAUAAAAAUAUGAAUAGCAUUUUGGUAUUAAGCAUUAAAUUGAUAAAGGCUAUGAGAUACACCUGCUCUCAACCAUGUUAAUUUUUUAUUAUUGGUAUUAAUAAAUUAUUACUUACUAACAUAUUAACAAGAAUUGCAUUGAGAAACAAAGCAUCCACAGGCCAAAUCUUCUGAAUUUCAAAUGUUUAUAUUAAUGCGUUGUAUUCUAGAAAAGUAGAAUUGUCUUAAGUAGCUUUGUAAUAUAAAGUCAUCUAUCAGCCCAUUACACCUAUUAGAAUGUUUUAACCUUUAUUUCCCACUUUUUUGUUUCUAGACUGAGUGUACUUGGUCUGGUAUUUGUGGCAUAACUUACGGAACACAUAAGAAUGAUACAGAUACUAUUUAAUGAUGACCUAAUACAAGCUUAGAUAGCUAAGGUGAAAGCUUCUAUGGCCUUAACAUUUUCCUCUUGAAGAAUGUAUUUUCUGUAAUAAAAUACAGUGGCUACUUGAAAUCUAUAAACUUAUGUGAGGUCUGGAUAAAUCUGAGCAACUUUCUUCUUUGUGCUCCAGGAACCUACGCACUAUAUAUA